rnacentral:misc_RNA from 1 species
GUGGGAGUCUUUUGCUGGAACUCUUUUGGAUCAGCUCUCCUUAAAUGCAUUAGCGGUUACUUGAUCCCCUUUCCUUGGUGUGAUAAUUAUCUACGCCUUUGAAAUGAUCAGCAUUGUAUCAGCUUCUAACCGUCCAUUGACUUGGACAACUUAAUUGACCAUUUGACCUCAAAUCAGGUAGGACUACCCGCUGAACUUAA